UACGAGUGCCUCGAGCGUUAUCCGGAAUUAUUGGGCGUAAAGGGUGUGUAGGCGGUUCUGUUAGUCUUUUGUAAAAUUUCCCGGCUCAACCGGGAGCGCGCAGAAGAAACGGCAGAACUACAGAGGAUGGAAGGGGUCUGCGGAACUCAUGGUGUAGCGGUGAAAUGCGUUGAUAUCAUGGGGAACACCAAAAGCGAAGGCAGCAGACUGGUCCACUCCUGACGCUGAAACACGAAAGCGUGGGUCGCGAAUGGG
rnacentral:rRNA from 1 species